GAGUUACACAUCUCUCCUGAGCCUAAGCAAGACACACAACUACUAAUAAAGUACUGUUUUUUUUGCUGGUUGCUGUUGUAGGAGGUGCAGCUAUUUUGUGCCUGCUGCUGUUAGUCCUUCUCUGCCUGCAAACACCCCCCCCCAUUUUGCCUGUCAGGUAUUGUGUCUGUGCUACUCUUUUUCCCUAUGCAUAUAACAAGUAGAAGCUUACAGACUGCAACAUUUACUGCAGGUACAACCGUUUUGGAUAAACCUUAGGAUAAAGUUUCAAAGAAAUCUAGGCAGAGGAACAUGUGCUGUAAAGGAAACAUAAUAUUGAGCUUAGACUGAUUCAGUCUUUAUUGCCUGACUACAGCCACCACAUAAGCAGGCACUAAGCAUCUCUACUUGUGCCAAGAAGCAGGACCGCCAUCAGAAAUCGCAGGGCCCCGUACGACAAAAUUUCCUGGGCCCCCUGGGCUGCGCCCACCGCAAGCUCCACCUACAGGUGGAGGGAUUUACCAGAUUGCCAUUUUCAGUCAUGGAUCUGGCACUUCCCUAUUUUAAACAUCAAUGAUUACUAAUGAAUUAAUGUAUUUUAGUUAAGGACAAAGGAUUAUAUAAUGUAUAGAUAGUUUAAAAAUGUUUUGGAUGCAUGUAAUUGUUCCACUGUCUCUCUUUGCAUAGCUUACCUUUAUUUGUUAUGCUAAACACAUUCUUUUGUUUCCAAGCUGUCUCAGGAGAGAAAUUUCCUUAAACAAAAGUUAAUAGAGGCACCGAGGACAAUAUAUAAAUAAAAAAGCAAAACACUUAUUCACCACAGGAAAAAAUGGGCUUGUAAUUAGAAAAUGUAAAAGCGGUGAAAAUGCUGCUUAUUUAAAUGCUCCAAAAAACAAACCGAGUUUAUUAUAAGUGCUUUGUGUAUUCACAUCCCUGUUUCAGCCUGAAUGAAAUAAUUAUUGCAUGGCCUGCCGCAGUGAUUUACUUAAAGCUCGAUUAUUCCAUCUUGACCUGCAUAAGUGUUGAAUUCAUAAUGGUGCAAUCUCUCUUGCUUGGGCAAAAAUCAUUGCUAAGCUCCUUAUAAAAGCUGAAAGGCUUUUCAACAUAAAGUAGGCACUGUUCUUUUUUUAAGCAAAAAUUAACACACUGGAUAAGGUGAUAAAUAAGUGGCCCUGUUAACUGUUUGCCAUGUAAACUAAAGUCAAGGUGUCAUCAAAGGUUUGCAGGAGUGUUAAGUACUGAGGAUUUUAGGGUCAUGAGUUAAGCUUUUUGUUGUGAAAUAAGAUUCCAGCUGGGUCUAAAGGGAAACCAGAGACUUGAGUGGUACAGUUCCGGUACCUGCAUAUGUGGUAAAUAUUGGAUCAGUAGCAGAUACUGGAGUAUGGGUUGUAUUAGCCAUGGAUUCCGUUUGACACCUUUUAUGUUCUGCUUGUAUGCAACAUAGCAUGUAUAGUUUCAUCAUUUAUUUGGGAUGAAAAAAGGCAACUGUCUAUCAUGUUCAACCACUGUAAAUGAUCCCCUGCACACACACCAUUAUAUACACACCUUAUGCACGUGCUCAUUUCUGAAAUACAGGUCAAAUCCCAGGUGCAGCUCUAGUUCAGCUACAAACAUGUUGGAAAAAAUGCAGGGGGCACACCAGGUCUUCAAUUAUCAAAAUAUUUGUUGACAUUUAUAUCUGGGUCGUAGGAUAAAGGUCUUAGAAACCUGGAUAAAGCUUUGACAAAUGAAACUAAAAAAACACGUAAAGCCUAUUUCACUGGGGGAGCACCAAAAUGCUAGGCACCCGUACAGUGAAAUAGAUUGCAAAGUUUUUCCUCAGGCCCCUGGAAAAAUUGAGAAGUUCGCUGGAAUUUUCUUUCCUUUAAUCCUUCAGACUUUGUUAAAUUUACUGUACUGCACGUGCAAAAACAUAUCUGCUCAAGAGAAGUCUGGAAAAUGGUAAAUUAAAUGCCAUUGAAGCAUUUUUUUGGGGGAAUGCCACCGAGCAACAUCUCUAUUUUUUUGUACACACAGACACCCAGAGUGCAGGGUGCUGGACACUCUUGUAGCUUUGAAAACGAACCUCCUGCGCCCAGUCUGGGUGCAUACCUCCCAACAUUUUGGAAGUAAUAAGAGGGCCAAAAAA